ensembl:ncRNA F58F12.9 ncRNA
CCGGAGAGGACAUGUCGUUGACUUUUCGUUCCGACACUCCGCCUCUUUUCGGAACAAGGUCACGCCCCUAUCAGUUUGCAAGAGGUAAGGAAUGGAGACGAAGAGAAAAUGGAAAAAUGGGUUUAUGCAUAAUUUUGAGAUGAUAGAGAAAUCGAGAAACCUGAAGUUUAAACCACACAGAAAGAAAAUGAA